AUUCCCCCAGUAACGGCGAGUGAACAGGGAAAAGCUCAAAGUUGGAACCUCCUGGCCCAAGGCUAGGCGGAUUGUAAACUAAAGCUCUUGGGUAGUUCGGCUAGCCUGGUAAAAAAGUUCUCUGGAAAGGGACGACAUGGAGGGUGAAAUCCCCGUCUUUGGCCAGAGCAUAGUCCUACGUUUGCCCGGAAGCGAAGAGUCAGGUUGUUUGGUAUUGCAGCCUAAAAUGGGAGGUAAAUCUCUCCUAAAGCUAAAUAUUGACGAAAGACCGAUAGCGAACAAGUACCGUGAGGGAAAGAUGAAAAGCACUUUGAAAAGAGGGUCAAAAAGUACGUGAAAUUGCUGAAAGGGAACCGUAUGAAAUCAGCCUGAUCUUUUAGUAAUCAGCCUGGGCUUCGGCCUGGGUGCACUUGCUGAUGGAUUAGCCUGCGACAAUUUUGCUCGGGGGAAAAAAUCAGGGGGAAUGUGGCCUCGGCUUCGGUCGAGGUGUUAUAGCCCUUUGAAAAAUACCUUGGGUGGGAUUGAGGUCUGCAGCGAGCCGCAAGGCAGGGGGUUUCGGGUGCUUUGAUUUGGUUGGGUGGGAAUCUCUACUUCGGGUAGUGCUCAUCCAAUCGGGCCAAACUCGCUCGUCUCUCCCUUUUCUCGCUUAGGUCGUAGGCAUAAUGAUUUUAUAUGACCCGUCUUGAAACACGGACCAAGGAGUCCACCAUGAUUGCGAGUCUUUGGGCGUAGAAACCCAUGGGCGCAAGGAAACUGACCAAGAUAUGAAGGCUUCACCGCUGGCAAUAUCCUCCGGCGAGGACGUUUUAUACCGAAUUGACUGAGAGAAAGCAAUUAUGAUGGGACCCGAAAGAUGGUGAACUAUACUUGAAUAGGGUGAAGCCAGAGGAAACUCUGGUGGAAGCUCGUAGCGAUUCUGACGUGCAAAUCGAUCGUCAAAUUUGAGUAUAGGGGCGAAAGACUAAUCGAACCAUCUAGUAGCUGGUUCCUGCCGAAGUUUCCCUCAGGAUAGCAGAAACUCACAAAGCAGUUUUAUGGGGUAAAGCGAAUGAUUAGAGGCCUUGGGGGCGAAAUGCCCUUAACCUAUUCUCAAACUUUAAAUAUGUAAGACGCCCUUCUUUCUUAAUUGAAG
rnacentral:rRNA from 1 species